GAGUCCACGCUUCCAUCGCUGGAGCCCGUGCUGAGUGUGGGGAAAGGCUCUGGGCUCCCUGCUUUGGCGAGCACGGAGCUUGGCUAAAGAUUUGCAGAGCACUAGGACGGUGUUGCGAUCGAGGUGGAACUCAGGCCUAGCAAACUGCCCCUGGCGCUCAGGGAUUAAUCGCCACUGGAAGGGGCUCUGGAGUCUCUGAUUUCCUCCCACAACCCAAAGACAGGCGUACAGGGACAAGCAGGAGAAGGCAAUGGGAAGUGGAAGCAGAGACUGAAGAAACACAGCCACAAGUCAAGAAAGCCAGGAACACCUGGAGCCACCAGAAGGUGGGAAAGGAAAUGAACGGUUCUGGAGAGUAACCUCUGGAAGGAGCACCUCCCAGCCAGGUGAGAGCUUGGAAAAGACUGGCUCCAGGACAUGAGGGGAUAACUGCCCAGGUGAAAGGGAAAAUCACGCAGCUUUGCCAGAACGGAGAUCCCUGCAACUAGGUGAAGAAGAAAGCCACAUGCUUUUGGUGGAGUGUGGACCCCUGCAACUUUGGUAGAAGAGGCCCACGCAGCUUUGGGGUGUCCCCUUCGGCUGUGUGGCCUGGAAAGCAGGAGAGACUUUGCCUGGAACUUGGUACAAAGAACUCUUGCCAGUGGACCGUGAGGGUGCCACAUGACUUUGGAUUAACUAUAGAGAGAUCCUGCCUGCACGGUGACACAGCUGACGGUGCCAGCGGUCUGAAACACAGACGUGUGCUCUUUUCCUGAUUUACGGUACCCGGAGUUGGGACAAUGGGAGAAGGGAGCGCUGUGUGGGUGUAGAUGUAUACCCUAAAGGACUUUGAUAUUUUAGUGGAGGCAUUAAGCCUAAAUAGCAUUAAAUAAACAUUUUGUUUCCUUUUCACAAAAAAAAUAAA